rnacentral:rRNA from 1 species
UACGAAGGUCCCGAGCGUUGUUCGGAAUCACUGGGCGUAAAGGGAGCGUAGGCGGCGUGGUAAGUCAGAUGUGAAAUCCCCGGGGCUCAACCCCGGAACUGCAUCCGAUACUGCCGUGCUAGAGGAUUGGAGAGGUAGCUGGAAUUCUUGGUGUAGCAGUGAAAUGCGUGGAGAUCAAGAGGAACACUCGUGGCGAAAGCGAGCUACUGGACAAUAUCUGACGCUGAGGCUCGAAGGCCAGGGUAGCGAAAGGG